rnacentral:tRNA from 1 species
GGCUCCGUGGUGUAGCUGGUAUCGCAUUGGCCUAGAAUGCCGAAGACGCUGGUUCGAAUCCAGCCGGUGCCC